UACGAAGGGGGCUAGCGUUGUUCGGAAUUACUGGGCGUAAAGGGCGCGUAGGCGGCUCUGAUCGUCGGAUGUGAAAUCCCCGGGCUUAACCUGGGAAUGGCAUUUGGGACUGCAAGGCUCGAGUGCGGCAGAGGAGACUGGAAUUCCUGGUGUAGCAGUGAAAUGCGUAGAUAUCAGGAGGAACACCGAUGGCGAAGGCAGGUCUCUGGGCUGACACUGACGCUCAUGCACGAAAGCGUGGGGAGCAAACAGG
rnacentral:rRNA from 1 species